AUUGAACGCUGGCGGUAUGCUUAACACAUGCAAGUCGAACGGUAGCAGGCCUUCGGGCGCUGACGAGUGGCGGACGGGUGAGUAAUGCAUAGGAAUCUGCCUAUUAGUGGGGGACAACGUGGGGAAACUCACGCUAAUACCGCAUACGCUCCUUAUUGAAAGAUGGGGAGGAAAGCGGGGGACCUUCGGGCCUCGCGCUAUCAGAUGAGCCUGCGUUAGAUUAGCUAGUUGGUGGGGUAAAGGCCUACCAAGGCGACGAUCUAUAGCUGGUCUGAGAGGACGAUCAGCCACACUGGGACUGAGACACGGCCCAGACUCCUACGGGUGGCUG
rnacentral:rRNA from 1 species